CUCUUGGUCAUUUAGAGGAAGUAAAAGUCGUAACAAGGUCUCCGUUGGUGAACCAGCGGAGGGAUCAUUAUCGAGUUAUUCAACUCCCAAACCCUAUGUGAACUUACCACUUGUUGCUUCGGCGCGCGCUUCGGCGCCGCCGAGGACACUUAAACUCUUUGUUUUUAUAAGCAUUUCUGAGUGGCCGAAAGGCAAAAAUACAAAUGAAUCAAAACUUUCAACAACGGAUCUCUUGGUUCUGGCAUCGAUGAAGAACGCAGCGAAAUGCGAUAAGUAAUGUGAAUUGCAGAAUUCAGUGAAUCAUCGAAUCUUUGAACGCACAUUGCGCCCGCCAGCAUUCUGGCGGGCAUGCCUGUUCGAGCGUCAUUUCAACCCUCGAGCCCGACUCUUUUGAGGACGGCUCGGCGUUGGGGGACGGCAGACUCCCCCCGGCAUCUCGCCGGGGACGCCGCCCCCGAAAUCUAGUGGCGGCCCUCCGAGGCGACCUCUGCGUAGUAACUUGUUCUCGCACCGGAAAGCUCAGAGCGGCCACGCCGUAAAACCCCAACUUUUUUCAGGUUGACCUCGAAUCAGGUAGGACUACC
rnacentral:rRNA from 1 species